rnacentral:tRNA from 1 species
UCUUCCGUGGCGCAAUUGGCUAGCGCGUUCGACUGUUAAGAUUUCGUAAGAUAUCUGGCUAUCGAGAGGUUGACAGUUCAAGCCUGUCCGGGAGAG